UUAUCGAGGCUAUUGCUUUGCGAUACCAUAUGUUGAAUGAUAUGCCACUUCAAAAGAAAGCUUACCUCGUUUCAUAUUGUAUUCUCUAAAACUCUAAAUACGUGUUUUUUUCGUCUUUCAUUAGAUGUGUGUUCUCAUUGAGUUUUUCUUAUGUUAUGUAAUGAUUAUUCAUUGAGAAAGUAAGUUAAUGUUGUCUUAAGGUUAGGGUUAGUCUAAAUUUCCAUGGUUGUGUACCAUUUAAGGAUUAAAAAUUUAUGUGGCUGUGU
rnacentral:lncRNA from 1 species